rnacentral:rRNA from 1 species
CCUACGGGAGGCAGCAGUGAGGAAUAUUGGUCAAUGGGCGCGAGCCUGAACCAGCCAAGUCGCGUGAGGGAGGACGGCCCUACGGGUUGUAAACCUCUUUUGCCGGGGAGCAACGGGCGUCACGUGUGGCGCCACUGAGAGUACCCGGAGAAAAAGCAUCGGCAAAUUCCGUGCCAGCAGCCGCGGUAAUACGGGGGAUGCGAGCGUUAUCCGGUUUUAUUGGGUUUAAGGGGUGCGUAGGCGGAUCGUUAAGUCAGUGGUCAAAUUGAGGGGCUCAACCCCUUCCCGCCAUUGAAACUGGCGUUCUUGAGUGGAGGAGAGGUAUGCGGAAUGCGUGGUGUAGCGGUGAAAUGCAUAGAUAUCACGCAGAACCCCGAUUGCGAAGGCAGCAUGCCGGCUUCCGACUGACGCUGAAGCACGAAAGCGUGGGGAUCGAACAGGAUUAGAUACCCUGGUAGUC